AGUGAACGCUGGCGGCGUGCUUAACACAUGCAAGUCGAACGAGAAACGGUCUAGCUUGCUAGAUGCAGUCUAAGUGGCGCACGGGUGAGUAAUAUAUAGGUAAUAUGCCUCUUACUAAGGGAUAACAGAUGGAAACGUCUGCUAAUACCUUAUAUGCCUUUAGGACUAAAGUCCGCAAGGGAAAGAUUUAUCGGUAAAGAGAUUAGCCUGUACAGUAUCAGUUAGUGGUGAGGUAAUGGCUCACCAAGACUAUGACACUUAACUGGUUUGAGAGGAUGAUCAGUCACACUGGAACUGAGACACGGUCCAGACUCCUACGGGAGCAGCAGUGGGAAUAUUGCACAAUGGAC
rnacentral:rRNA from 1 species